rnacentral:rRNA from 1 species
UACGAAGGGGGCUAGCGUUGCUCGGAAUCACUGGGCGUAAAGCGCACGUAGGCGGAUUGUUAAGUCAGGGGUGAAAUCCUGGAGCUCAACUCCAGAACUGCCCUUGAUACUGGCGGUCUCGAGUCCGGGAGAGGUGAGUGGAACUGCGAGUGUAGAGGUGAAAUUCGUAGAUAUUCGCAAGAACACCAGUGGCGAAGGCGGCUCACUGGUCCGGUACUGACGCUGAGGUGCGAAAGCGUGGGGAGCAAACAGG